UGUGAAGCCCAGAACAGAAGAGGACGCCAUAACUCCACCUUACAUCUGAUUGUUGUAGCAGGAGCAUGGAAAUCUACAGCCGCUGGAACAACCACUGCUGUUGUCCUGGCUCUUAUCCUCCUCUCUCUUUUCAUAUUGUUUAGAAAAAAGUGGGUCUCCAAGCAAUCACUGAAGCCUGAAGAGAGACCAGAUAACAGGGAUCAGACACAGCUGGAUGACAGGCAGGAUGAGCUUCACUAUGCCAGUUUCCAGUUCUCCAAGAACCAUACAGAUCCUCUCUACUCCAACAUCGGACUAACUCAGACCCUCAGACACGAGGAGGACGAAGACGAGGGUGUUGAGUACACUUCCGUCAAAUUUACCAGUUGCAGUACUGCUUUGAGAGGUCAGACGUCAGCUGGGGAGGAUUCAGAUGCAUUGUACAGCACAAUCAACAAAACCUGUUCAGCAUACCAGCCUGGUAUUAAUAUCAAGUAGUUUGUUUAUUUAAGCAGGUAUUUAAUAUAUAUCUUAAGACAGAUCUGUCAUGAGAGAAUGCAACAUUGAGACAACUGUACAUUUUAAGCCCAAUUUACAAACUUAAACAUUUAGAAUGAUUUAUGUUAUAAUUAUUUAUUAUCAAACACAGGUUGGAAUUGCACAUGUAUUGCAUAUUUCCUGAAGAGUAUUUAAAUUAGUGGUUGCCCUGUUCUUUGGAAGACUUGUUGUUUAAAUCCCAGCAGAUAGAUAACUUGCUACAAUUGAUUGUUAUGUGGAGGGAACUGGGCUCCUCGAGGGGCAUUUUUCACUUUUAACUUGAACUGUAAA